AAGCAAUCUUGUGUGUCCCAGAGUAACAUCAGCAGAAAUAAAAGGAAUAGUAGUACCUUAGUACACCCAUACAUAACCAAAUCGUACUUGUAAACUACAAUCAGUGACAAAAAUCUUUUGGACAGUAAUGUACUAUGAUAUUUGUGAUGUUACUCUGAGUGUAUAUCCACACCGGCCGAGCUUGAAAAUAUGCCCGGUCACGGUGGGAUUCGAACCUACGACCUUUGGAUGUAAACGUAACAAUGUUGGGUCAUUUUGCG